rnacentral:rRNA from 1 species
UACGUAGGGGGCAAGCGUUGUCCGGAAUCAUUGGGCGUAAAGCGCGUGUAGGCGGCCCGAUAAGUCCGCUGUGAAAGUCCAGGGCUCAACCCUGGGAUGCCGGUGGAUACUGUCGGGCUCGAGUCCGGAAGAGGAGUGUGGAAUUCCUGGUGUAGCGGUGAAAUGCGCAGAUAUCGGGAGGAACACCUAUGGCGAAGGCAGCUCGCUGGGACGUUACUGACGCUGAGACGCGAAAGCGUGGGGAGCAAACAGG